GGAGAGGUGGCCGAGUGGCUUAAGGCGACGGAUUGCUAAUCCGUUUUGCGGGGUUACCUGCAACCAGGGUUCAAAUCCCUGCCUCUCCGCUA
rnacentral:tRNA from 1 species